UACGUAGGGUGCGAGCGUUGUCCGGAAUUAUUGGGCGUAAAGAGCUUGUAGGCGGUUUGUCGCGUCUGCUGUGAAAAUCCGGGGCUCAACCCCGGACGUGCAGUGGGUACGGGCAGACUGGAGUGUGGUAGGGGAGACUGGAAUUCCUGGUGUAGCGGUGGAAUGCGCAGAUAUCAGGAGGAACACCGAUGGCGAAGGCAGGUCUCUGGGCCACUACUGACGCUGAGAAGCGAAAGCAUGGGGAGCGAACAGG
rnacentral:rRNA from 1 species